AGACUGCCAGUGACAAACUGGAGGAAGUGGGGAUGACGUCAAAUCAUCAUGCCCUUAUGACCUGGGCUACAAACGUACUACAAUGGCCAAUACAAAGAGAUGCGAAGUCGCGAGAUGGAGCGAACCUCAAAAAAUGGUCUCAGUUCAGAUUGAAGUCUGCAACUCGACUUCAUGAAGGCGGAAUCGCUAGUAAUCGCGGGUCAGCAGACCGCGGUGAAUACGUUCCCGGGUUU
rnacentral:rRNA from 1 species